AGCGUAAGCUAGUUGUGUUAACUAUUAGUUAAUGCAAGAUCGACUACGUCGAAUAAAGUUCUAGGUAAAACAAUGAUGAUGACAAUUUUUUACCUAUAUGUCUUGACCAAAUCUCGUGCCAGCAGUCGCGGUAAUACGUGGAAGACUAGUGUUAUUCAUCUUUAAUAGGUUUAAAGGGUACCUAGACGGUAAAUUUAGCCCAAAAAGGGUACGGAUUUACUAGAGUUUUAUGUGAGGAGGGGAGUACUUGUAGAGUAGAGAUGAAAUUUUAUGAUACUAUAGGGAAACUGGUGUCGGCGAAAGCAACCUUCUAUGUAUAAACUGACGUUGAGGGACGAAGGCUUGGGUAACAAACAGGAUUAGAUACCCUAAUAGUCCAAGCAGACAAUUCUGAAUGCCAUAGAUUAGAUUUUUUUUGGUCUAUAAAUGAAAGUGCAAGCAUUCCACCUUAAGAGUAAUGUGGCAACACAGAAAUUGAAAUCAUUAGACCGUUUCUGAAACCAGUAGUGAAGUAUGUUAUUUAAUUCGAUGGUCCACGAAAAACCUUACCACAAUUUGAAUAUUAUUAAUUUAAUACAAGCGUUGCACGGCUGUCUUCAGUUAAUGUCGUGAGAUUUAGGUUAACUCCAUUAAAUUAACGCAAACCCUUA
rnacentral:rRNA from 1 species